rnacentral:rRNA from 1 species
AGGAAAAGAAACCAACAGGGAUUGCCCUAGUAACGGCGAGUGAAGCGGCAACAGCUCAAAUUUGAAAUCUGGCGCAAGCCCGAGUUGUAAUUUGUAGAGGAUGCUUCUAGGUAGCGACCGGUCUAAGUUCCUUGGAACAGGACGUCAGAGAGGGUGAGAAUCCCGUAUGUGACCGGCCCGCACCUUCCACGUAGCCCCUUCGAAGAGUCGAGUUGUUUGGGAAUGCAGCUCUAAAUGGGAGGUAAAUUUCUUCUAAAGCUAAAUACCGGCCAGAGACCGAUAGCGCACAAGUAGAGUGAUCGAAAGAUGAAAAGCACUUUGGAAAGAGAGUUAAAAAGCACGUGAAAUUGUUGAAAGGGAAGCGCUCACAACCAGACUUCUGGGCGGUGUUCCGCCGGUCUUCUGACCGGUCUACUCGCCGUCCCGAGGCCAACAUCAUCUGGGACCGCUGGAUAAGACCGGAGGAAUGUAGCUCCCCUCGGGGAGUGUUAUAGCCUCCGGUGAUGCAGCGCGUCUCGGGUGAGGUCCGCGCUUCGGCAAGGAUGUUGGCGUAAUGGUUGUCAGCGGCCCGUCUUGAAACACGGACCAAGGAGUCUAACAUCUAUGCGAGUGUUCGGGUGUCAAACCCCUACGCGGAAUGAAAGUGAACGGAGGUGGGAAGGGCAACCUGCACCAUCGACCGAUCCUGAUGUCCUCGGAUGGAUUUGAGUAAGAGCAUAGCUGUUGGGACCCGAAAGAUGGUGAACUAUGCCUGAAUAGGGUGAAGCCAGAGGAAACUCUGGUGGAGGCUCGCAGCGGUUCUGACGUGCAAAUCGAUCGUCAAAUUUGGGUAUAGGGGCGAAAGACUAAUC